AGCAUCCACUGAGACUAAUAUAUCUGAAAUAUAUCAUGAAAACAACAUUUAGAGAGGAGAAAUGGUAGAAAACUUAAAGUUUCAUAGAAUCCAGGGAGGUGAUAUAAAUAAGCAAAUCAGCCUGGUAGUACGCUAUGCUGAACGGAAGAGAAUGUGCGUCAGCUGGCCUGGAGCACCGUCAGAGGGACCUGCGAUUACAUGAGUACAUGGGCAUUUGGAGAAAUUUUCACUGGGAGCAUGAAUAUAGCAGAAUGAGAUACCUCAAAAAUGGAAAAAAUGCCUCACAUCUGUGCUGCUGA
rnacentral:lncRNA from 1 species